rnacentral:rRNA from 1 species
UACACACCGCCCGUCACACCAUGGGAGUUGGUUUCACCCGAAGGCCGUGCGCUAACCGCAAGGAGGCAGCGGACCACGGUGGGAUCAGCGACUGGGGUG